rnacentral:rRNA from 1 species
UACGAAGGGGGCUAGCGUUGUUCGGAAUUACUGGGCGUAAAGAGCGCGUAGGCGGCUUUGCAAGUUGAGAGUGAAAGCCCGGGGCUUAACCUCGGAAUUGCUUUCAAAACUGCAGAGCUAGAGUGUAGUAGGGGAUGAUGGAAUUCCUAGUGUAGAGGUGAAAUUCUUAGAUAUUAGGAGGAACACCGGUGGCGAAGGCGGUCAUCUGGGCUACAACUGACGCUGAGGCGCGAAAGCGUGGGGAGCAAACAGG